AAGCACCCUCCAAACCACUUUUAGGAAAGUGGUUAAUGCGAGAUGUCCGUCGUUUGGUGCGUGUGUAGAGUCUCGGGGAAAGGGCUCGGUCUAUUCAACUCAGAAGACAAGACUAUGCGACGGAGCUUAUGCGGAACCGGUUCCCCAUUGUAGCCCAACAUACAAUUUCGUCAAGGCUGGAUUAGAGUGAAUCGUAGUGUGACGCUACCCCUGAGACUGACUGCCAGCCCUCCACCCCAGCCCACUCCCCUGUGGUCAGCAGAACCCACACUGCCCCAACUCCGCAAUACUGGGCCACUCCAGGCAAAAGGGUAGAGACACUCCAAGUCCUGCAUCCUGUAAAUCAAACUGGCACAUCACUGGCCCAAAAUCCAUGGACUUUCAGAGCAACUGAACAACAAAUGUGGGAUUAAUAAAGCAGCCAUUAUGGUUCCUGGAUAUUGGAUAAAGGGAUUUGUGCCAGCGGUGGUAACUGCUGACAGCCACUCAGCUGGGAGUUCAUGUUUCUGGAAACUGGGUAUUUGUCCGGACGGCUCGCAGAAUCGGGCCUUUUUCGGGAGAGUGAUAGCAGCCUACAGUGCGUCCCCUGUAAAGGACACUAGUUAAUCUCUGGGCCUCUACCUCAGUUGCUCCCUGCAGGAAAUUCUUGGUCCCAUUUUGCACUGAUCCUCUGAUAUGACUCUACUGCACCACAGUUGAGCAACAAGGCAGUAGUCACCCACAAAGUCACUGAAAUGGUGUUAAACAUUAACACCGUUUCAUAAUGCCAUCAUAUACUGUAAACUUGGUUUAUUGAACAUUGAGGAGUUAAUCCUUCAGAGAUAAUGCAGAAAUGUACUGCAUGCAUGCCUGUGUGCUCUGAGAUAUGAGUGCCCGCCUCCUCUUCUCCCAUGGUGCUCAGCCUUUACCCCAGGAACCCACUUCCUUGGGAGUGUGCCCUUUCCCUCGACUUGGACUGGGGUCUUGCGGUAUCUGUUCACUCCAGGUUUGGAGUUAAAAAAUAACCUCUGGCCCAAGGCAGAGCACUGGUCUGGUACUGGUCCGAGUGGGUCAGUCCACAUGAGACUCCAGUGAACCAAACAGGAUCCCAGGAAAAGAUGCAGAGAGACUCUGCUGGGUCCUUCCUUCCCCCCUGCCCCCCCCCCCCUCCCCAUUUUAAUAAUGCCACUCCUGACAUGCAUUUUACAUUCAGAGUGGCUGCUUGCUGCAAUUGGCGUGCUUCUGACCUGUACUGAAACAAACAGCCCACUGUGACCCCGUACAGGUUCUUGCUCGCAUUUUGCAGGAAUGUCCACGCUUAACUAGGACUCAAGCGGAGCCACCCAUCAAGUCUGCAUGAGGUCACCGACCAAAACAGACCCCAAGAGACCCACAACGUCUUUUCUGAAAUGCGGUCAUGCUGUUUGCGAGGUUUAAGCAACUGUAUUUUCAUUUAGGCUUCAAGCGAAACUGCAGUGCUUUGUGUGAAGACUUUAAAACUGAUUUGCUUAUUUGAGUUGGCUGUGGAAAAGCAGAUCAGAUUGUAACAGCUUGGAUUGCCGCACAAUUUUUUCUCCAGGGCUAAUUUACUUGUUACAAAUUUGUCUCUUUUACAACCCCAGAGGGAGGUAUCCAUAAUAAUUUUUAUAACUUUUGACUUGAGAGAAAUGUCCCUUUACUGGGGAAUUAAAAAGAAGAAAUGGACUCCUGGAAUUAAUGAAAGAAAAACACAUUUGAUGAGGAUUUGUUCGGGUCCUGUACAUUUAAAUUGAUGAUAUAUUUACAAAGUUACACUUCAUUUUUUAACGAUGAACAAGGAGGCACUUUGAGCCUGUUUGUGUGAAAUUUUGACAUGCUCUGAUGUUAAAGUGCGUGACAUUCCCUUUUCCUACCCCUGAUAUAUCAGUUUGAAUACUGAUAUAGAGAUCAGAAUUCAAGAAUGCAAGCUGGGUUUCCUAGGCAACAUAAGCACCUUUUGGUGAAGUGCUAUUUUGUAAAUGUUUACUUUAAACAGAAAUGCACUGUGAACAUUAGUGACAUUCAUCUACCUUGUAGAUAAGCUAGAAUGCCUGGAAUUGCAUUUAGGUGACCAAGAGCAUUUGUAAAAUAAGUUAAAUUUGUAAGUAUGACUUACACCCACAGAGAUGAAGAGAUGGAUUGUUUCCAAGAGGGUUAAGCCAUAAGUUGAUUAAGAAACCAUGAAAGGAUUUCAAAAUUAAUGUCAAGACCUUGGUCCUGCAAUACCACCAUACUGGGACCUUAGAAAAACUCUAUCUCUAUAAACGAAAGUGUUCUGAUUCCUGUCCUGACUGUAUGAUCCAACUGCGCCUGUAAAUCGCUGUAAAUAAUUCUUCACUCGCACUCUCAA